rnacentral:misc_RNA from 1 species
GAACUAUUAAACCCUAUAAAUACUCUAAUUAUAUUCAGAUUUUGUAAUUUUGCAUAUUUCUUCAAUUUUCAAUAAAAUUUCUUUCUUUAUUUUUAUCUUUUUCUUCUUAAGGUUUUGGAUUAAACCUUUGUUGCUCUUUGAACAUUUGUUUUCGUAACAAUCUCUACGCGCUACACGUUGUGUCAAUUUCCUUAUUAAUAACUACAUAUAAUUCUAGCCAAUUAGAUAUUAGUCUACUGACAAAUUAAUUAAACUGAGACCUUAACAUACAAAUAAAAAAGGACUAAUUCAAAUCUAUUGAAGGAUUAAUUUAAUUUUCAUCUAUUUAUAUUUUUUUGAUAUGUUUUAUAUUCUUACAAAAUUUUUAUUAAACAAUACGAU